rnacentral:lncRNA from 1 species
CAUGGUUAUAACCACUCCAGAUCUUGAGCAUUUCCAGUUAACACCCGCUAAAAGUGGCUUCAGGGUAAAGAGAACGAUGGUGUUUGCUAGCUUGAAGACUCUUUUCCUUGGACCAGGGGUGUUCCUCUGCAAUAAGGUGUUUCAAGUUGUGAUAAAAGGCAUGGAGCUUCUCCAGUCUUUGGAACUGAGUGGAUGCCGUGGGUUUAAGCAGAUUAACGUUGAGAAUAUGAG